CAAUAUCCCAGACCUGUUCCUGCCUGUCGAGCUGCCACAACCACACAGCUUUAAAAGCACCGAGAGACGAACUGAACAUUCUCCGAACACAAGAGGAUAUUAUGAAAAUGACUGGCCACGAUCUCGCAGCCACCAUCGAUACCUGCGCACACGUGCUGCGUCAGGUGGGAGACAGCUUCUACUGGAGGUACAAACUGCUCGAGAUACUGCUCAACAACUACCAGACCGUCACCAAAAUCAAGUGAGACGAGACGUAAGGAAUGUACCUGGAAGCGGAAUUGGAUUUUUUACUAAAGUGGAGGGCAUUCAAAGCCAAAGCAGCACAAGAGACUCUGAGACAGACUGUGAUAUCCUCUCUGGAGGUGGAAAAGGAAGCAAACCUCUGGGGAAAAGUACCCUGAUGUUCAGAGACCCUGGAUGUGGACUGUGGUCGCAUUCAAGUCUGGAGAUCCGCAGAGAAAAGCCACAUUUUCGGGAUGUAAACCCACGAUGCAUGCAGAGAAGGUGCAACAUCUGGAUGGGAGUUACCUGCUACGAAACGCUGAUUAUAACAUACCAUACAUACUCCUGUAUAUACGGACAUGUAUUCAUGGAGCCUAACCUUUAGGUGAACUGAAGGACUCAGUUUCAUAUCUACUCAAUGUUCCUUUUUUCUGGUGAGAAGUUCUUCUUGCUAAUUAAAGAUGCAUUAAUUAAGGGAGCCUUGUUCUAUAGUUGUUGUUUUACCACCUGAAGUCCUGCAGAUGAACCUGAGCUAAAUCUGCAGAAAUACAUCUUCUGUUUGUGAGAUGGAUGCAUUUUAUUGUAUGUUCCUUGUUCAAUAAAUACAUAAUAAUACCAAA